rnacentral:rRNA from 1 species
UCCGUGGUGGCGAGUGGACGAACGGUGAGUAAUAUAUCGGAACGUCGCCCGGUCGGUGGGGGAAUAACGUAGACGAAAGCUACGCUAAUACCGCAUACUAUCUAUGGAUGAAAGCGGGGGAUCGCAAGACCUCGCGCGAUUGGAGCGGCCGAUAUCAGAUUAGGUAGUUGGUGAGGUAAAGGCUCACCAAGCCGACGAUCUGUAGCUGGUCUGAGAGGACGACCAGCCACACUGGGACUGAGACACGGCCCAGACUCCUACGGGAGGCAGCAGUGGGAAUUUUGGACAAUGGGCGCAAGCCUGAUCCAGCAAUGCCGCGUGCAGGAUGAAGGCCUUCGGGUUGUAAACUGCUUUUGUACGGAACGAAACGGUGAGCUCUAAUACAGUUUGCUAAUGACGGUACCGUAAGAAUAAGCACCGGCUAACUACGUG